rnacentral:rRNA from 1 species
UACGGAGGGGGCUAGCGUUGUUCGGAAUUACUGGGCGUAAAGCGCACGUAGGCGGAUUGUUAAGUCAGGGGUGGAGUCCUGGAGCUCAACUCCAGAACUGCCUUUGAUACUGGCGAUCUUGAGUCCGGGAGAGGUGAGUGGAACUCCGAGUGUAGAGGUGAAAUUCGUAGAUAUUCGGAAGAACACCAGUGGCGAAGGCGGCUCACUGGCCCGGUACUGACGCUGAUGUGCGAAAGCGUGGGGAGCAAACAGG